rnacentral:rRNA from 1 species
AGCGAACGCUGGCGGCUGGCCUAACACAUGCAAGUCGAGCGCCCCGCAAGGGGAGCGGCAGACGGGUGAGUAACACGUGGGAACGUGCCCUUCGGUUCGGAAUAGCCCGGGGAAACUCGGAGUAAUACCGGAUACGUCCGUAAGGAGAAAGAUUUAUCGCCGAAGGAGCGGCCCGCGUCUGAUUAGCUUGUUGGUGAGGUAACGGCUCACCAAGGCUACGAUCAGUAGCUGGUCUGAGAGGAUGAUCAGCCACACUGGGACUGAGACACGGCCCAGACUCCUACGGGAGGCAGCAGUGGGGAAUAUUGGACAAUGGGCGCAAGCCUGAUCCAGCCAUGCCGCGUGAGUGAUGAAGGCCCUAGGGUUGUAAAGCUCUUUCGGCGGAGAAGAUAAUGACGGUACCCGCAGAAGAAGCCCCGGCCAACUUCGUGCCAGCCGCCGCAGUAACAC